CGAGCACGCGCGUGUGGCAUAUCAAUAAGCGGAGGAAAAGAAACUAACAAGGAUUCCCUUAGUAACGGCGAGUGAAGCGGGAAGAGCUCAAAUUUGAAAUCUUCAAGGUUCUACCUUGACGAAUUGUAGUUUAUAGAAGUGUUUUCUGUUAGUAGGAGUGGCAAAAGUUCUUUGGAAUAGGACAUCAUAGAGGGUGAGAAUCCCGUAUUUGGUCAUUCCUCCUAGCGUUGUGAUACACUUUCAACGAGUCGGAUUGUUUGGGAAUGCAGUCCAAAAUGGGUGGUAAAUUUCAUCUAAAGCUAAAUAUUGGCGAGAGACCGAUAGCGAACGAAGUACCGUGAGGGAAAGAUGAAAAGAACUUUGAAAAGAGAGUUAAACAGUACGUGAAAUUGUCAAAAGGGAAGCGUUUGACACCAGUGUUGUUUUUCCGAAAAUCAAUUACGAAUGUUUUAUUUUUGAGGAGUUAUGACUUCAUCGGCGUGCUCCUUUCUUUAUGAAACUUUCUUAAUGCACCUUUCGGUUAACAAGUCAACAUCAAUUUCUUUUGUUGUAAAAGGGUAUGAGGAAGGUGGCUUUCUUUUCGGAGAAAGUGUUUAUAGCCUUGUGCCUCUGCAAUCGGAGAGAUUGAGGUCUGCAGCGUAGAUCCUUCGGGGUUAGAUACGUUUGUGCUAAGUUAUAGCUUUUCAUAGACAACUUGUUGACUAUGUUUAGUCUUGUAGCUUACUCGCUGACGCUAUUUUACCUACGCUUAGGAUGUUGAGUAGCGACAUACGCAC
rnacentral:rRNA from 1 species